rnacentral:rRNA from 1 species
GAUGAACGCUGGCGGCGUGCCUAAUACAUGCAAGUCGAGCGAACAGACGAUGAGCUUGCUCCUCUAACGUUAGCGGCGGACGGGUGAGUAACACGUGGAUAACCUACUUAUAAGACUGGGAUAACUUCGGGAAACCGGAGAUAAUACUGGAUAAUAUAUUGAACCGCAUGGUUCAAUAGUGAAAGACGGUUUUGCUGUCUCUUAUAGAUGGAUCCGCGCCGCAUUAGCUAGUUGGUAAGGUAACGGCUUACCAAGGCAACGAUGCGUAGCCGACCUGAGAGGGUGAUCAGCCACACUGGAACUGAGACACGGUCCAGACUCCUACGGGAGGCAGCAGUAGGGAAUCUUCCGCAAUGGGCGCAAGCCUGACGGAGCCACGCCGCGUGAGUGAUGAAGGUCUUCGGAUCGUAAAACUCUUUUAUUAGGGAAGAACAAAUGUGUAAGUAACUAUGCACGUCUUGACGGUACCUAAUCAGAAAGCCACGGCUAACUACGUG